rnacentral:rRNA from 1 species
UUAGAGUUUGAUCCUGGCUCAGGAUGAACGCUAGCGGCAGGCCUAACACAUGCAAGUCGAGGGGUAACAGGUGUAGCAAUACAUGCUGACGACCGGCGGACGGGUGAGUAACGCGUAUGCAAUCUGCCUCUGACUGAGGGAUAGCCCAGAGAAAUCUGAAUUAAUACCUCAUAACAUCAUGAUUGGACAUCCUUCUAUGAUUAAAGCUCCGGCGGUCAGAGAUGAGCAUGCGUGCCAUUAGUUAGUUGGCGGGGUAACAGCCCACCAAGACUGCGAUGGCUAGGGGGUCUGAGAGGAUGAUCCCCCACACUGGUACUGAGACACGGAUCAGACUCCUACGGGAGGCAGCAGUGAGGAAUAUUGGGCAAUAGGCGCAAGCCUGACCCAGCCAUGCCGCGUGCAGGAUGAAGGCCCUAUGGGUCGUAAACUGCUUUUAUACGGGACGAAUCCCUCGGACGUGUCCGGGGCUGACGGUACCGUAAGAAUAAGCAUCGGCUAACUCCGUGCCAGCAGCCGCGGUAAUACGGAGGAUGCAAGCGUUAUCCGGAUUCAUUGGGUUUAAAGGGUGCGUAGGCGGAACGAUAAGUCAGCGGUGAAAUCCUGCAGCUUAACUGUAGAAUUGCCAUUGAUACUGCCGUUCUUGAAUGCGGUUGAGGCAGGCGGAAUGUGUAUUGUAGCGGUGAAAUGCGUAGAUAUUACACAGAACACCUAUUGCGUAGGCAGCCUGCUAAGCCGUGAUUGACGCUGAGGCACGAAAGCGUGGGGAGCAAACAGGAUUAGAUACCCUGGUAGUCCACGCUGUAAACGAUGAUCACUCGCUGUUGGCGAUAUACCGUUCAGCGGCUAAGCGAAAGCAUUAAGUGAUCCACCUGGGGAGUACGACGGCAACGUUGAAACUCAAAGGAAUUGACGGGGGCCCGCACAAGCGGAGGAACAUGUGGUUUAAUUCGAUGAUACGCGAGGAACCUUACCUGGGCUUAAAUGGGAGACGACGUCUCGGGAAACCGGGAUUCCCUUCGGGGCGGCUCUCAAGGUGCUGCAUGGUUGUCGUCAGCUCGUGCCGUGGGGUGUCGGGUUAAGUCCCAUAACGAGCGCAACCCCUAUCGUUAGUUGCCAGCGGGUAAUGCCGGGGACUCUAGCGAAACUGCCAGCGUAAGCUGUGAGGAAGGUGGGGAUGACGUCAAAUCAGCACGGCCCUUACGCCCAGGGCAACACACGUGUUACAAUGGCCGGUACAAAGGGCAGCUACUGGGCGACCAGAUGCUAAUCUCUAAAACCGGUCUUAGUUCGGAUUGAAGUCUGAAACUCGACUUCAUGAAGUUGGAUUCGCUAGUAAUCGCGCAUCAGCUAUGGCGCGGUGAAUCCGUUCCCGGGCCUUGCACUCACCGCCCGUCA